GUGAUUUUCAGUGUCUAAGAUAAUUCUAACCUAACAUCCACGUCACUCAGUAUCAUCAUGGCACAAUUUACGUGGAUAUAAAUUACAAAACAGGUUACAGGAUUUUAUUUUUAUUUAUUUUUAUCAAAAGUGUUAAUUGUGGGCAGUAAAAAAAAGUUAUAAAAGCCAACCUUGAUUAUUUCGACAUCCACCGGCAGUUACGCCGCG